rnacentral:rRNA from 1 species
AGAUUGAACGCUGGCGGAAUGCUUUACACAUGCAAGUCGAACGGCAGCACGGGACUCAGGCAACUGAGUCCUGGUGGCGAGUGGCGAACGGGUGAGUAACAUAUCGGAACGUACCCAGUCGUGGGGGGAUAACUCUCCGAAAGGAGAGCUAAUACCGCAUACGUCCUGAGGGAGAAAGCGGGGGACCUAAGGGUAACUGAGGGCCUCGCGCGAAUGGAGCGGCCGAUAUCAGAUUAGCUAGUUGGCGGGGUAAAGCCCACCAAGGCAACGAUCUGUAGCUGGUCUGAGAGGACGACCAGCCACACUGGGACUGAGACACGGCCCAGACUCCUACGGGAGGCAGCAGUGGGGAAUUUUGGACAAUGGGCGCAAGCCUGAUCCAGCAAUGCCGCGUGCAGGACGAAGGCCUUCGGGUUGUAAACUGCUUUUAGACGGUAACGAACGGUCCUUUCUAAUACGAGGGUCUAAGUGACGGUACCGUAAGAAUAAGCACCGGCUAACGACGUA